GAUAUGAACUCUCCGAAAAAAUUACGCUGUUAUCCCUAAGGUAAGUUAAUCUUAUAAUCAAAAAUUCUGGAUCAAAAAAACAUAAAUUAAUGAAUAAAUUAAUAAAAGUUAAAUAAAUUUUAAUGUCACCCCAACAAAACUUUAUAUUCUAAAAAAUUAUUUAAUAAACAAAAAAUAAUAAUUAAUAAAUAAAGUAAACUUCUAUAGGGUCUUCUCGUCCUAUAAAAAAAUUUUAGCCUUUUAACUAAAAAAUUAAAUUCAAAGUAAUUAAAAAAAGAAAGAUUAUUUUUCAUCAAACCAUUCAUGCUAGCCUUCAAUUAAAAGACAAGUGAUUAUGCUACCUUCGUACAGUUAAAAUACCGCAGCCUUUUAAUUCAUAAAAAUCAAUGGGCAGGCCUGAUCUUAAAUUAAAAUCAAAAGACC
rnacentral:rRNA from 1 species